UACGGAGGGUGCGAACGUUAAUCGGAAUUACUGGGCGUAAAGCGCGCGUAGGCGGUUCGGUAAGUGGGAUGUGAAAGCCCUGGGCUCAACCUGGGAACUGCAUUCCAAACUGCCGAGCUAGAGUGUGGUAGAGGGAGGUAGAAUUUCCUGUGUAGCGGUGAAAUGCGUAGAUAUAGGAAGGAAUACCAGUGGCGAAGGCGGCCUCCCGGAUCAACACUGACGCUGAGGUGCGAAAGCGUGGGGAGCAAACAGG
rnacentral:rRNA from 1 species